CGGCCCUAAGUGUUUUCAGCGUCAAGAAACAAUCUAAGAUGCUGGCCGACCUCCCGCUGCCGUGGCUCACGACAGACUCCCAUCCUGAGGACAGACAGACAGGGUGAGCCGAUUCCCAAAGACAGCCCUGAGACCAGGACAGAGGGGCCAGGGAACCGGAGCGCCGAAGACAAAGUCAGACCUCGAGGAGGAAAACCCGAGAUACCGGUCACAACUUGGGGACGCCCACAGGCACCACGUCAGCACCCCUCUCUCCACUGGGGCCUCAUAGGUUCCCGAAGAGGAUGGUUGUCAAGCUGCUAAAUGAUGGCUUCUCAAUCAGCUCCUUCGCCUCUGUUGUGGUUGCCCCUCCCGAAGGAGU